GACGAACGCUGGCGGCGUGCCUAACACAUGCAAGUCGAACGAGGUCCAAGGAAGCUUGCUUCCUGACGACCUAGUGGCGAACGGGUGAGUAACACGUGAGAAACCUGCCUCGGAGUGGGGAAUAACUCGGGGAAACUCGAGCUAAUACCGCAUAACUUCACAUGAUCGCAUGGUCGAGUGAAGAAAGAAUUUCGCUCUGAGAGGGUCUCGCGGCCUAUCAGCUUGUUGGUGGGGUAACGGCCCACCAAGGCAACGACGGGUAGCUGGUUUGAGAGAACGAUCAGCCACACUGGGACUGAGACACGGCCCAGACUCCUACGGGAGGCAGCAGUGGGGAAUCUUGCGCAAUGGGCGAAAGCCUGACGCAGCAACGCCGCGUGCGGGAUGACGGCCUUCGUGGUUGUAAACCGCUUUCAGCAGGGACGAAAAUGACGGUACCUGCAGAAGAAGCCCCGGCUAACUACGUGCCAGCCGCCGCCGUAA
rnacentral:rRNA from 1 species